GGAGAAUAAGGGGCUGUGAUUGUACGUGAGAAUAAUAGAAUAGUCAGGAUGGCCAGUUGUAGUUAGCUGAAGACCUGAAAGUUGUUAGGAAAGUUGUGAUUGGGAACUGUUGUAGGAAGAGCUGUUAGCUGUAUAAAUAAUUGCUAUUGUAUCUGAAGGAGAUCAUUCUAGAAAACAUCAAGAAUCUAUUCAUUUUCUCUCUCAUUUGCUCUAUUCUCUUCUUCCUAAAACUCUGUUUCUAUUAUUUCUGCUACUUGAGAUCCUGUUG
rnacentral:misc_RNA from 1 species